GCUGUCCCCGUCGCCGCGAUGCCGCUGGAGAACCUGGAGGAGGAGGGUCUGCCCAAGAACCCCGACUUGCGCAUCGCGCAGCUGCGCUUCCUGCUUAGCCUGCCCGAGCACCGCGGAGACGCUGCCGUACGCGACGAGCUGAUGGCGGCCGUCCGCGAUAACAGUGAGGCCCGCACGAGCGCCGAGUCAGCGGCCUAGGCCUGGGCCGUCCCCGCGUGCCGGAGCCUGCGGGGACUUUAUUUUGAUGGAGCUCCAGACUCCUCUGACGGGGUCUCCGAGACCAGGCCUGGCUUCUCCGGCCCUUAGGGUUUUGCUUUGGUUUGGGAAUACCCUGGGGGACCUCGACUUACCUCAGCGGGGUCUGCAUCUCUCUGUGCCGCCUUCCCCUGUAAGGGCAGCUUGGAGGAGAAUCGUGAGGCAUUAAUAUUUAUCCCUGUGCUAGGCACGGAGUAAAGGCCCCGUGACUUACUGUCAUUGGGGACUGCUCCCGGGCGCGGGGUAUUCCUGUAGGAGAGUUCAGCUUGCCUGUGGAAGGGAAAUUUGGGUUCGGUUCUUUUUGGCCCUUCUAUAGUGAAUGUGAAUGUUUGAACAUAUGUAUGUGAGUAUGUGUGUAUAAAAAGUCUUUCCCUGUUUGAAGACUUUUGGAACAGAAUCUGGCAAGAGCAAACCGAGGAUUGCCCUCUCUCUAGCCCUAGUAGAGGUUGGCAGUGCCAGGAUUGGCCCUCACGCAAACCUCCCACCAGCAUACGUUUAUGUUUUGCCGAGCCGAUUAUUAAGCGCCAUCGCAUGCCUUCCUGUUAGUGGGGAAGAGACUGGUGGAUGACUUGUGGCAGGGCGGGGGGGUGAAAUACGUGGGCAGACUUUGACUUGAGGGCACAAGUGUCCCCACUCACACAUCCCUCUUUUUGCAUGUUAGACAUGGCUCCUUACUAUGAAGCCUUGUGCAAAUCCCUCGACUGGCAGAUAGACGUGGACCUACUCAAUAAAAUGAAGAAGGCAAAUGAAGACGAGUUGAAGCGUUUGGAUGAGGAGCUGGAAGAUGCAGAGAAGAAUCUAGGAGAGAGCGAAAUUCGCGAUGCAAUGAUGGCAAAGGCCGAGUACCUCUGCCGGAUAGGUGACAAAGAGGGAGCUCUGACAGCCUUUCGCAAGACAUAUGACAAAACUGUGGCCCUGGGUCACCGAUUGGAUAUUGUAUUCUAUCUCCUUAGGAUUGGCUUAUUUUAUAUGGAUAAUGAUCUCAUCACACGAAACACAGAAAAGGCCAAAAGCUUAAUAGAAGAAGGAGGAGACUGGGACAGGAGAAACCGCCUAAAAGUGUAUCAGGGUCUUUAUUGUGUGGCUAUUCGUGAUUUCAAACAGGCAGCUGAACUCUUCCUUGACACUGUUUCAACUUUUACAUCCUAUGAACUCAUGGAUUAUAAAACAUUUGUGACUUAUACUGUCUAUGUCAGUAUGAUUGCCUUAGAAAGACCAGAUCUCAGGGAAAAGGUCAUUAAAGGAGCAGAGAUUCUUGAAGUGUUGCACAGUCUUCCAGCAGUUCGGCAGUAUCUGUUUUCACUCUAUGAAUGCCGUUACUCUGUUUUCUUCCAAUCAUUAGCGGUUGUGGAACAGGAAAUGAAAAAGGACUGGCUUUUUGCCCCUCAUUAUCGAUACUAUGUAAGAGAAAUGAGAAUUCAUGCAUACAGUCAGCUGCUGGAAUCAUAUAGGUCAUUAACCCUUGGCUACAUGGCAGAAGCAUUUGGUGUUGGUGUGGAAUUCAUUGAUCAGGAACUGUCCAGGUUUAUUGCUGCUGGGAGACUACACUGCAAAAUAGAUAAAGUGAAUGAAAUAGUAGAAACCAACAGACCUGAUAGCAAGAACUGGCAGUACCAAGAAACUAUCAAGAAAGGAGAUCUGCUACUAAACAGAGUUCAAAAACUUUCCAGAGUAAUUAAUAUGUAAAGCCAUGUAACUAACAAGGAUAUGCUUUAGAGAUAAUUAUUUGGAAUUUUUAUAGCUUACUUCACAAUGUGCCCAGGUCAACUGUAUAAAAUAAAUACUGCAUUGUUGUUUC
rnacentral:sRNA from 1 species